GAUCCUGGCUCAGGAUGAACGCUAGCUACAGGCUUAACACAUGCAAGUCGAGGGGAAACGACAUCGAAAGCUUGCUUUUGAUGGGCGUCGACCGGCGCACGGGUGAGUAACGCGUAUGCAACUUGCCUAUCAGAGGGGGGAUAACCCGGCGAAAGUCGGACUAAUACCGCAUGAAGCAGGGAUCCCGCAUGGGAAUAUUUGCUAAAGAUUCAUCGCUGAUAGAUAGGCAUGCG
rnacentral:rRNA from 1 species